rnacentral:rRNA from 1 species
CAGUAGCCGCGGUAAUACAGAGGGUGCGAGCGUUAAUCGGAUUUACUGGGCGUAAAGCGUGCGUAGGCGGCUUCUUAAGUCGGAUGUGAAAUCCCUGAGCUUAACUUAGGAAUUGCAUUCGAUACUGGGAAGCUAGAGUAUGGGAGAGGAUGGCAGAAUUCCAGGUGUAGCGGUGAAAUGCGUAGAGAUCUGGAGGAAUACCGAUGGCGAAGGCAGCCAUCUGGCCUAAUACUGACGCUGAGGUACGAAAGCAUGGGGAGCAAACAGGAUUAGAUACCCCCGUAGUCCCUGUCUCUUAUAC